rnacentral:misc_RNA from 1 species
CCUAGAGUUGUAGGCUUUGCCUGCUAUCUCUUACCCACGUCUUUUGAGUACCUUCGUUUCCUCGGCGGGUCCGCCCGCCGAUUGGACAAUUUAAACCAUUUGCAGUUGCAAUCAGCGUCUGAAAAAACUUAAUAGUUA